rnacentral:rRNA from 1 species
GUCCACGCUGUAAACUAUGAGAACUAGAUGUUAGGGGGCAUGACCUCUUAGUAUCGUAGCAAACGCGAUAAGUUCUCCGCCUGGGGAGUACGGCCGCAAGGUUAAAACUCAAAGGAAUUGACGGGGGCCCGCACAAGCGGUGGAGCAUGUGGUUUAAUUCGAUGCAACGCGAAGAACCUUACCUACCUUUGAAUCCACGGAACCUUGCAGAGAUGUGAGGGUGCCUUCGGGAACCGUGAGACAGGUGCUGCAUGGCUGUCGU